rnacentral:rRNA from 1 species
UGAGAGUUUGAUCCUGGCUCAGGAUGAACGCUGGCGGCGUGCUUAACACAUGCAAGUCGAACGGAAAGGCCCUGCUUGCAGGGUGCUCGAGUGGCGAACGGGUGAGUAACACGUGGGUGAUCUGCCCCUGACUUUGGGAUAAGCCUGGGAAACUGGGUCUAAUACCGGAUAUGACCAUGGGAUGCAUGUUCCGUGGUGGAAAGCUUUUGCGGUUGGGGAUGGGCCCGCGGCCUAUCAGCUUGUUGGUGGGGUAAUGGCCUACCAAGGCGACGACGGGUAGCCGGCCUGAGAGGGUGAUCGGCCACACUGGGACUGAGACACGGCCCAGACUCCUACGGGAGGCAGCAGUGGGGAAUAUUGCACAAUGGGCGCAAGCCUGAUGCAGCGACGCCGCGUGAGGGAUGACGGCCUUCGGGUCGUAAACCUCUUUCAGCAGGGACGAAGCGCGAGUGACGGUACCUGCAGAAGAAGCACCGGCCAACUACGUGCCAGCAGCCGCGGUAAUACGUAGGGUGCGAGCGUUGUCCGGAAUUACUGGGCGUAAAGAGCUCGUAGGCGGUUUGUCGCGUCGUCUGUGAAAUUCUGCAGCUUAACUGCAGGCGUGCAGCGAUAGGGGCAGACUUGAGUACUACAGGGGAGACUGGAAUUCCUGGUGUAGCGGUGAAAUGCGCAGAUAUCAGGAGGAACACCGGUGGCGAAGGCGGGUCUCUGGG